AUUCUAUGGUCCUGAAGCCCAGAAUUCAAAACAAAGCAAGAAAGUGGGGUGCGAAUUAAAACAGGGGUUUCAUGCAAUAGUUUGAUGGCCCAAGGCCUUUGAGCCCAACCGAGGAAGCCACAUGAGAGGGAGAGGACCAGAUUAGAACACAUUCAUCCUGGUUUUUUUACUCAAGCACGCUUCUUUAUGCUUCAACUAAGCCAACCAACUCCGUCGCGCCGGAAAUCGCAUUUGGAGGCGGCGGAGGUCCAAAACCUCCAAACAACACAUCAAUAUGCUCGUUGCAGUCCCCUCUUCCAUAAUCAACCAUCACUUUUCUUUAAUUCCUGCUCAAUCUCCCAAACUGAGGCUAAAAAAAUGAACCCUAAAUUAUGGAAUCAAGAAUUAAGUGUAGCAAUGGAGGAAUCAAAGCCCUAUCAUGUUAGGGCUUUGAUUCCUCGGGUCAAACUUCACAUGGUGGCAACGGGAAUUAACACAAAUAGAUGAUGAAUAACUUACCUACGAUUGGUGACUUGUCCCGGUAUUUGCUGUGAUGGAGAAGACGAUGAUGGAGCAAGAAUUCCAGAGACUUCAAAGGGUCAAUGUGAUUCAGGAAUAUGGACAAGGCCAUGGGCAAGUAGACACUUUGAACAAGAUCAAGUUUUAUGGAGGAUUUAUGAACAAAAAGAGAUGUCUUGUGGGAGAAGACAAUAUGGGAAUUAGGGUUGCAGGACUAGGAAGUUGACUUUGGUCAACUGGUUAACCAAAAAGUCAACAGUUGACUAGAGUCAACUAUAGGUCACAAUUUGUAGUUUUUGUGUAAAGUUUGUAACUUGGAUUUUGAAUGAUGCUUUGUAAGGAAAUGGUUCUCUUUGAAUGAAUGUGACUUAUGUAUUGAGAAAGA